UACGUAGGGUGCGAGCGUUAAUCGGAAUUACUGGGCGUAAAGCGUGCGCAGGCGGCGCGUUAAGACAGGUGUGAAAGCCCCGAGCUUAACUUGGGAAUUGCGCUUGUGACUGGAGUGCUGGAGUGUGGCAGAGGGAAUUCCUGGUGUAGCGGUGAAAUGCGUAGAGAUCAGGAAGAACACCGGUGGCGAAGGCGCUCUGCUAGGCCGCAACUGACACUGAGGGACGAAAGCGAGGGGAGCGAAUGGG
rnacentral:rRNA from 1 species